GUAGGUGAACUUGCGGAAGGAUCAUUAAUGAAAUUUUAAAGUCGGUUUGUCAUCUGUGCUGGUGGAGACACAUGUGCACGUUGCAAGUCGCAAAUCCCACACACCUGUGCACUUAUGACUCUGAGUACCGCUUUGCAUGGGCCCCUCAAAGGCCCUGGUACUCGAGUACUUUUACACACUCUGAAUGUAAUGGAAUGUCUAUUGUACAAUGUUCAACCAAAACAACUUUCAACAACGGAUCUCUUGGCUU
rnacentral:misc_RNA from 1 species